GGAAAGAUGAGGAGAGGGUGGCAAAGUUCCCUUGAGUAACUGCCAGCCAGAUGCCCACUCCAAGGAUACCACAGCCUCCCAGCCAGAAGAGAAGGUUGAAGACAAACAUUAGGUACUUGAUACACUGCAGGCAGUUGUGAGCCAUGCUGCACCUCUUCAGUUCUUGAUGAGAGUGCACCAGCAACACGGGUCCCUCCCAGAGUAUGAGCGGAGCAGGGCUGGGGCUCAUGGCAGCGAGCUGCUCCCCUCCGGCGUCCG
rnacentral:lncRNA from 1 species